UACGUAGGGGGCCAGCGUUGUUCGGAAUUACUGGGCGUAAAGGGCUCGUAGGCGGCCAACUAAGUCAGACGUGAAAUCCCUCGGCUUAACCGGGGAACUGCGUCUGAUACUGGAUGGCUUGAGGUUGGGAGAGGGAUGCGGAAUUCCAGGUGUAGCGGUGGAAUGCGUAGAGAUCCGGAGGAACACCAGCGGCGAAGGCGGCAUCCUGGACUGGUACUGACGCUCAUGAGCGAAAGCGUGGGGAGCGAUCCGG
rnacentral:rRNA from 1 species